rnacentral:rRNA from 1 species
GAUGAACGCUGGCGGCGUGCCUAAUACAUGCAAGUAGAACGCUGAAGGCGGAGCUUGCUCUUCUGGAUGAGUUGCGAACGGGUGAGUAACGCGUAGGUAACCUGCCUUGUAGCGGGGGAUAACUAUUGGAAACGAUAGCUAAUACCGCAUGACAACAGUUAUUGCAUGAUAACUGUUUAAAAGGGGCAGCUGCUCCACUACCACAUGGACCUGAGGUGUAUUAGCUAGUUGGUGAGGUAACGGCUCAGCAAGGCGACGAUGCAUAGCCGGACUGGGACGGGGACCCGGCCCAGUGGCAUAGGGGAGGGGGCAGUAGGGAAACGUGGGGAAUGGACGGAAGUCUGAGCGAGAUACGCCGAGUGCGGGAAGAAGGUCGUCGGGUGCUAAAGGUCUGUUGUCAGGGAAGAAAGAGCGUGAGAGUGGAAAGUUCAGUGUGUGACGGUAUCUGACCAGAAAGGGACGGCUAACUACGUG